AGAGUUUGAUCCUGGCUCAGGACGAACGCUGGCGGCGUGCCUAAUACAUGCAAGUCGAGCGAAUGAUUGGGAGCUUGCUCCCUGUGAAUUUAGCGGCGGACGGGUGAGUAACACGUGGGCAACCUACCUGUAAGACUGGGAUAACUUCGGGAAACCGGAGCUAAUACCGGAUAAUUUCUUUUCUCGCAUGAGAAAAGAUGGAAAGACGGUUUCGGCUGUCACUUACAGAUGGGCCCGCGGCGCAUUAGCUAGUUGGUGAGGUAACGGCUCACCAAGGCCACGAUGCGUAGCCGACCUGAGAGGGUGAUCGGCCACACUGGGACUGAGACACGGCCCAGACUCCUACGGGAGGCAGCAGUAGGGAAUCUUCCGCAAUGGACGAAAGUCUGACGGAGCAACGCCGCGUGAACGAAGAAGGCCUUCGGGUCGUAAAGUUCUGUUGUUAGGGAAGAACAAGUACCAGAGUAACUGCUGGUACCUUGACGGUACCUAACCAGAAAGCCACGGCUAACUACGUGCCAGCAGCCGCGGUAAUACGUAGGUGGCAAGCGUUGUCCGGAAUUAUUGGGCGUAAAGCGCGCGCAGGUGGUUCCUUAAGUCUGAUGUGAAAGCCCACGGCUCAACCGUGGAGGGUCAUUGGAAACUGGGGAACUUGAGUGCAGAAGAGGAAAGUGGAAUUCCACGUGUAGCGGUGAAAUGCGUAGAGAUGUGGAGGAACACCAGUGGCGAAGGCGACUUUCUGGUCUGUAACUGACACUGAGGCGCGAAAGCGUGGGGAGCGAACAGGAUUAGAUACCCUGGUAGUCCACGCCGUAAACGAUGAGUGCUAAGUGUUAGAGGGUUUCCGCCCUUUAGUGCUGCAGCUAACGCAUUAAGCACUCCGCCUGGGGAGUACGGCCGCAAGGCUGAAACUCAAAGGAAUUGACGG
rnacentral:rRNA from 1 species